rnacentral:rRNA from 1 species
CGUGUGCUUACAAGUAGUCAGAGCCCGUUAAUGGGUGAUGGCGUGCCUUUUGUAGAAUGAACCGGCGAGUUACGAUUUGAUGCAAGGUUAAGCAGUAAAUGUGGAGCCGUAGCGAAAGCGAGUCUGAAUAGGGCGUUUAGUAUUUGGUCGUAGACCCGAAACCAGGUGAUCUACCCUUGGUCAGGUUGAAGUUCAGGUAACACUGAAUGGAGGACCGAACCGACUUACGUUGAAAAGUGAGCGGAUGAACUGAGGGUAGCGGAGAAAUUCCAAUCGAACCUGGAGAUAGCUGGUUCUCUCCGAAAUAGCUUUAGGGCUAGCCUCAAGUGAUGAUUAUUGGAGGUAGAGCACUGUUUGGACGAGGGGCCCCUCUCGGGUUACCGAAUUCAGACAAACUCCGAAUGCCAAUUAAUUUAACUUGGGAGUCAGAACAUGGGUGAUAAGGUCCGUGUUCGAAAGGGAAAC